rnacentral:rRNA from 1 species
GGGGAAUAUUGGACAAUGGGGGCAACCCUGAUCCAGCCAUGCCGCGUGAGUGAUGAAGGCCUUCGGGUUGUAAAGCUCUUUUGGCGUGGACGAUGAUGACGGUACCCGCAGAAUAAGCCCCGGCUAACUUCGUGCCAGCAGCCGCGGUAAGACGAAGGGGGCAAGCGUUGUUCGGGAUUACUGGGCGUAAAGGGCGCGUAGGCGGUUUGCUUAGUCAGGCGUGAAAGCCCUGGGCUUAACCUGGGAUGUGCGCUUGAUACUGGCAGGCUUGAGUGUGGGAGAGGUUGGUGGAAUUCCCAGUGUAGAGGUGAAAUUCGUAGAUAUUGGGAAGAACACCGGUGGCGAAGGCGGCCAACUGGACCACAACUGACGCUGAGGCGCGAAAGCGUGGGGAGCAAACA